rnacentral:rRNA from 1 species
UACCAGCACCCCGAGUGGUCGGGACGUUUAUUGGGCCUAAAGCAUCCGUAGCCGGUUCUACAAGUCUUCCGUUAAAUCCACCUGCUUAACAGAUGGGCUGCGGAAGAUACUAUAGAGCUAGGAGGCGGGAGAGGCAAGCGGUACUCGAUGGGUAGGGGUAAAAUCCGUUGAUCCAUUGAAGAACACCAGUGGCGAAGGCGGCUUGCCAGAACGCGCUCGACGGUGAGGGAUGAAAGCUGGGGGAGCAAACCGG